rnacentral:lncRNA from 1 species
AUGGCUCAACAAAAGCUCUUAAUAUGAUGCACAAAUAUUAUCAAUAUGUUUAUGAAUAAUGAGAGAUGAUGUUCAUCUAAAAUCAGCUCCAAAGACCUCUAUUUAUAGGGUGUGGAGGUGAUAUAGCUGUUGGAUGCACAAAUAUUAUCAAUAUGUUUAUGAAUAAUGAGAGAUGUUGUUCAUCUAAAAUCAGCUCCAAAGACCUUUAUUUAUAGGGUGUGUAGGUGAUAUAGCCGUUGCACAACGUUUAAACAGUAAAUCUGAUUUUGGCUCAGCAUAAUCGAUUAUUUAACUUGCAUAAUCGAUUAUCCUUUCAACGUUCAAAAAACUAGACGUUGGUAGGCAACGGUCACUUAGAUAAUCGAUUAUCAAAGUAGAUAAUCGAUUAUCUUGUGGGACUUGCCAGAUAACCGAUUAUCUACAUUGAAUAAUCGAUUAUUGUGGCAUUCUGGAAUUUCCAGCUUUUCAGA